rnacentral:lncRNA from 1 species
CUCGAGCAAGGGACUGUGCCUUCGUGUGCCUUGGUUUCCCCAUGCAAUGGUACUUGGUUGUCUUUCCUCCAUAAAGCAAGGAAGAGGAUGGAGGAGCGUGGUGGCACGGUUCGUGAAGGCGGACAGCCGGGCAGAAUGGGAAUGCUAAUUAAUUAGCCAUCACGUUCGGGCCACGGCGCACAAGGAAGUGAAACUAGAGCGUGGUUUGGAGGAACAGCCCCGAACAGAAAAGGGAUGUGCCGUGUGUCCAGUGAAAGAUUUACGAGAGUCCUGACUCGGAGCUUGUAGUAAUGCAACAGGACUUUUGUCCCUCCGCAGUCCCCACCCAUGGCCCUUUGAGCUCUGAAAAGCACACGUUUGGAAACCAGCCUCUGUCACAAAAUCACCCACGUUCUUCCGGCCACAAACCUUCGCCUCAUGCGUCCUGCAGUCGAAGCCACCGAGAGGAGCCCUGAGGAUGGGAUGCCACAUGCUGAGCCGGCGACAGGAGAGGAGCCACCACCGCACCGCGGGAAAGCUGGAGCUGAGCUCAGCCAGACGGCCCCGGCCUCCUACGGGUGCGAGGCCCGCAAGCGCCAGGCGGUUGGCAAGGGGACCCGGCUUUUGGCGGCAAACUUGGACGUGCCUCUCCGUCCUCAGCCAGGCAGCCGGGACAGACUGCUGGGAAACAUCGAGGGGCUUGCCAGCACCAUCUGCAAGGCCGGUUCUUCAUUUCUGUGCUGCACGGCCAGCGCCCCAGGUCCCCACAUCUCCAUGUCUUCCUCUCUGAUGGCCCCUGAAUUCAUGGAAAGUACUCGGCAGUGGCGUGGGCGAGUGACGGGGAGCUCUAGCGCUGGCCGAGCUGCCGGAGGAGCUGGUGGCGUGGCAUUUUCCAGGCCGACACGGAUAUGA